AAUUUUCGCUUUCGUAGUGACCUGCGGAGGAUCAUUAUCGAGUUAAUUGACUGGGUUGUAGCUGGCCUUCCGAGGCAUGUGCACGCCCGGCUCAUCCACGCUCUUACACCUGUGCACUUACUGUGGGUUUACGGGUCGUUAAACGGGCUCGUUUAUUCGGGCUUGUUGAGCGCACUUGUUGCCUGCGUUUAUCACACACAAACACUACAAAGUAUUAGAAUGAAUUGGGUAAAUUGGGAUAUACAAUAUCAUACAACUUUCAGCAACGGAUCUCUUGGCUCUCGCAUCGAUGAAAAACGCAGCGAAAUGCGAUAAGUAAUGUGAAUUGCAAAAUUCAGUGAAUCAUCAAAUCUUUGAACGCACCUUGCGCUCCUUGGUAUUCCGAGGAGCAUGCCUGUUUGAGUGUCAUUGAAUCUUCAACUUACAAGCUUUUCUUAUCAAAGGCUUGUACGCUUGGAUUUGGAGGCUUGUCAGACUUUAUUAUACGGGUCGGCUCCUCUUAAAUGCAUUAUCUUGGUUCCUUGCGGAUCGGCUUGUCGGUGUGAUAAUGUCUACGCCGCGACCGUGAAGCGUGUUUGGGACAAGCUUCUAAUGGUCUCGUUAGAGAGACAAGUUUUAAUGAGCUCUGACCUCAAAUCAGGUGAGACUACCCGCUGAACUUACGCAUAUCAAUAAGCGGAAGAAAAGAAACUAACAGAGACUCCCCUAGUAACUGCGAGUGAAGCGAGAAACGCUCAUAUUUAAAAUCUGGCGGUCUUUGGCCGUCAGAUUUGUAGUCUAGAGAAGUGCUUUGCGCGCUGGACUGAAAAUCUUCCCCGGAGGGA
rnacentral:rRNA from 1 species